UAUAAAGGCGAAGCUGUUGAAAGGCAGUGGCGCAAAGCGAAGAGCCUAAGGUGCUUACGCACUAUGGUAGUCUGGCUGC
rnacentral:ncRNA from 1 species